GAGUUUGAUCUUGGCUCAGGACGAACGCUGGCGGCGUGCCUAACACAUGCAAGUCGAACGGACGAGAGGGAGCUUGCUCCCUCAAGUUAGUGGCGGACGGGUGAGUAACGCGUGAGUAACCUGCCUUUCAGAGGGGAAUAACAUUCUGAAAGAAUGCUAAUACCGCAUAAUGUCACAGUAUCGCAUGGUACAGUGACCAAAGGAGCAAUCCGCUGAAAGAUGGACUCGCGUCCGAUUAGCUAGUUGGCGGGAUAAAGGCCCACCAAGGCGACGAUCGGUAGCCGGACUGAGAGGUUGAUCGGCCACAUUGGGACUGAGACACGGCCCAGACUCCUACGGGAGGCAGCAGUGGGGGAUAUUGCACAAUGGGGAACGAA
rnacentral:rRNA from 1 species